GACAGAGGAUGCAAGCGUUAUCCGGAAUGAUUGGGCGUAAAGCGUCUGUAGGUGGCUUUUUAAGUCCGCCGUCAAAUCCCAGGGCUCAACCCUGGACAGGCGGUGGAAACUACCAAGCUGGAGUACGGUAGGGGCAGAGGGAAUUUCCGGUGGAGCGGUGAAAUGCGUAGAGAUCGGAAAGAACACCAAUGGCGAAGGCACUCUACUGGGCCAUUACUGACACUGAGAGACGAAAGCUAGGGGGAGCAAAUGGG
rnacentral:rRNA from 1 species